GUCUCCCGCUCUCCUGGAAAUUAUAUCCGCGCAACACAAAGCCCAACAAAGGGAACCUUUUAAGUUUUUUUCCUUCUCUCAGAUUGAACGCUGGCGGCAGGCCUAACACAUGCAAGUCGAGCGGUAGCACAGAGAGCUUGCUCUCGGGUGACGAGCGGCGGACGGGUGAGUAAUGUCUGGGAAACUGCCUGAUGGAGGGGGAUAACUACUGGAAACGGUAGCUAAUACCGCAUAACGUCGCAAGACCAAAGUGGGGGACCUUCGGGCCUCAUGCCAUCAGAUGUGCCCAGAUGGGAUUAGCUAGUAGGUGGGGUAACGGCUCACCUAGGCGACGAUCCCUAGCUGGUCUGAGAGGAUGACCAGCCACACUGGAACUGAGACACGGUCCAGACUCCUACGGGAGGCAGCAGUGGGGAAUAUUGCACAAUGGGCGCAAGCCUGAUGCAGCCAUGCCGCGUGUGUGAAGAAGGCCUUCGGGUUGUAAAGCACUUUCAGCGGGGAGGAAGGCGUUAAGGUUAAUAACCUCAUCGAUUGACGUUACCCGCAGAAGAAGCACCGGCUAACUCCGUGCCAGCAGCCGCGGUAAUACGGAGGGUGCAAGCGUUAAUCGGAAUUACUGGGCGUAAAGCGCACGCAGGCGGUCUGUCAAGUCGGAUGUGAAAUCCCCGGGCUCAACCUGGGAACUGCAUUCGAAACUGGCAGGCUAGAGUCUUGUAGAGGGGGGUAGAAUUCCAGGUGUAGCGGUGAAAUGCGUAGAGAUCUGGAGGAAUACCGGUGGCGAAGGCGGCCCCCUGGACAAAGACUGACGCUCAGGUGCGAAAGCGUGGGGAGCAAACAGGAUUAGAUACCCUGGUAGUCCACGCCGUAAACGAUGUCGAUUUGGAGGUUGUGCCCUUGAGGCGUGGCUUCCGGAGCUAACGCGUAAAUCGACCGCCUGGAUACCCAC
rnacentral:rRNA from 1 species